rnacentral:rRNA from 1 species
GCGGCUUGUUGCGUCAGCUGUGAAAACCCGCAGCUCAACUGUGGGCUUGCAGCUGAUACGGGCAGGCUUGAGUUCGGUAGGGGAGACUGGAAUUCCUGGUGUAGCGGUGAAAUGCGCAGAUAUCAGGAGGAACACCGGUGGCGAAGGCGGGUCUCUGGGCCGAUACUGACGCUGAGGAGCGAAAGCGUGGGGAGCGAACAGGAUUAGAUACCCUGGUAGUCCACGCUGUAAACGUUGGGCGCUAGGUGUGGGGGGCCUCUCCGGUUCUCUGUGCCGCAGCUAACGCAUUAAGCGCCCCGCCUGGGGAGUACGGCCGCAAGGCUAAAACUCAAAGGAAUUGACGGGGGCCCGCACAAGCGGCGGAGCAUGCGGAUUAAUUCGAUGCAACGCGAAGAACCUUACCUGGGUUUGACAUGUGCGCUAAUCCGGCAGAGAUGUCGGGUCCUUCGAGGGCGUUCACAGGUGGUGCAUGGCUGUCGUCAGCUCGUGUCGUGAGGUGUUGGGUUAAGUCCCGCAACGAGCGCAACCCUUGUUCGAUGUUGCCAGCGG